UGAACGCUAGCGACAGGCUUAACACAUGCAAGUCGAGGGGCAGCGGGGUAUUGCUUGCACUACUGCCGGCGACCGGCGCACGCGGUGAGUAACACGUAUGGAACCUGCCCGCAGCAGGGGGAUAAGCGGAAGAAAUUCCGUCUAAUACCGCGUAACAACGUUGGGGAGGCAUCUCCCGAUGUUAAAAGAUUUAUCGGCUGCGGAUGGCCAUGCGGCGCAUUAGCUAGUCGGCGGGGUAACGGCCCACCGAGGCGACGAUGCGUAGGGGUUCUGAGAGGAAGGUCCCCCACACUGGUACUGAGACACGGACCAGACUCCUACGGGAGGCAGCAGUGAGGAAUAUUGGUCAAUGGCCGAGAGGCUGAACCAGCCAAGUCGCGUGAGGGAUGACGGCCCUACGGGUUGUAAACCUCUUUUGUCGGGGAGCAAAGGGAGUCACGUGUGACUCAUUGAGAGUACCCGAAGAAAAAGCAUCGCCUAACUCCGUGCCAGCAGCCGCGGUAAUACGGAGGAUGCGAGCGUUAUCCGGAUUUAUUGGGUUUAAAGGGUGCGCAGGCGGAGGUGCAAGUCAGCGGUCAAAUUGCGGGGCUCAACCCCGUACUGCCGUUGAAACUGCAUCCCUUGAGUGCGCGAGAAGUAUGCGGAAUGCGUGGUGUAGCGGUGAAAUGCAUAGAUAUCACGCAGAACUCCGAUUGCGAAGGCAGCAUACCGGCGCGCAACUGACGCUCAUGCACGAAAGCGUGGGUAUCGAACAGGAUUAGAUACCCUGGUAGUCCACGCAGUAAACGAUGAACACUAACUGUUCGGCCAGAAUGAUGGCUGAGUGGUACAGCGAAAGCGUUAAGUGUUCCACCUGGGGAGUACGCCGGCAACGGUGAAACUCAAAGGAAUUGACGGGGGCCCGCACAAGCGGAGGAACAUGUGGUUUAAUUCGAUGAUACGCGAGGAACCUUACCCGGGCUCAAACGACACAGGAAUACUUUUGAAAGGAGGUAGCCCUACGGGGUCUGUGUCGAGGUGCUGCAUGGUUGUCGUCAGCUCGUGCCGUGAGGGUGUCGGCUUAAGUGCCAUAACGAGCGCAACCCCUAUCGCCAGUUGCCAUCAAGUAAAGUUGGGGACUCUGGCGAGACUGCCGGCGCAAGCUGUGAGGAAGGCGGGGAUGACGUCAAAUCAGCACGGCCCUUACGUCCGGGGCGACACACGUGUUACAAUGGCAGGUACAGAGAGAAGCCAGGUGGCGACACCGAGCGGAACUCGAAAGCCUGUCUCAGUUCGGAUCGGAGUCUGCAACCCGACUCCGUGAAGCUGGAUUCGCUAGUAAUCGCGCAUCAGCCAUGGCGCGGUGAAUACGUUCCCGGGCCUUGUACACACCGCCCGUCA
rnacentral:rRNA from 1 species